UUGAUGUUUGAUUUUGGCUUUUGAUUAUUAUAUAAUCUUUUAAGUUGCAUGAAAAUUUUUAUGUGUGUUAUACAAUCGUAAAUUUUUAUAUUUACCAGUAUUAUUGGAAUUUUAAGUUAUAAUAUUUUAGUUCUCAGCAUGUUCUAUUAUUGAGGUAAGUAUAUAUGAAAAUAUGAUUUAGAAAAGAUUUUAGGUCUAGUAAAUUUUGUGCCAGCAUCUGCGGUUAUACUUGGAGGACAAGUAAAAGUUUUCGGUUAAGGCUAGGCGAGUAAGAAAUUAAACUUUAAUUUAUUAUAAAUAAUAGAGGGUAAAAUUGAGUUAUUAUUUUAUAAAAUAAAUAAGUUUGAAGUUGAAGCUUGAAAAAUUUAAAUAAAAACUAGGAUUAGAUACCCUACUAUUUAAAAUUGAAAAUUAUUAGAGGAACCUGGUUAGUAGUAGUUAUUUACUUAAAAACUAAAAGAUUUGGCGGUAAUUUAAUCUUUCCAGAGGAACUUGUUUUUUAAUCGAUAAACCACGAAGUAUCUUACUUACUUUAGUUAUAUUAGUUUGUAUACCUUCAUUAUCAGGUAAUUUUUAAAGAAUAAAUUACUAAAAUUAUCAUUUACAAGAAAAUUAGAUCAUGGUGCAGCUUAUAAGUAAGUUAAAAUGAGUUACAAUAAAUUAUUUUAAAUGAAUUUAUAGUUUAAGUAUUAUAAUGAAGGUGGAUUUGGUUGUAUUAUGAGUUUAAUAAGCUCAUAAGAUAUAGGCUCUAAAUUAUGUACAUAUCGCCCGUCGCUUUCAUUUAUAAGUGAAAUAAGUCGUAACAUAGUAGAUGUACUGGAAAGUGCAUCUAGAAUUAU
rnacentral:ncRNA from 1 species